GGAAAACUUCUGUUGAUACGAUAUCCUUGUAAUAUCAAGGAAAAAAUAUAUAAUUGAUAAAAUAUUUGAGUUGAUUUCUGUCCUGAUUGAAAAUUAAAGGUCAGCCUAUCCAUUUCAAUGAGGCUUAACAACAUAAUAAGCGGAACCUUCUUUUUAUCUGCUCUCUACAAAGAGGCAGAAGAUGAUUAAAAAAUAGAAAAAAAAAACAAAAAAAUAACUAUAAAAAGAAAUAAAUGAACAUGGGAUGCAUAAGAAAUAACGCUGCUUCAAUAUGAUCACUUGAAACUAGCUACUUUUCUACAGCAAAUUUUCUGCGAGCAGCAGACAAUAACUACACUGAAUUGCAUCACAACCCAAGGAAGACACAUUGCUUUCUUGCAUGCUCUGGUAUCAAUUUUGCCAAGGUUUCAGUUGUGACACCCUUCAAUUCAUGAGAUUUAAAGUUAAACAAUGGUGGAAGGAAACGUCCAUUUGGUAGGCGGGUGUUAGGGUCCCGUAACUCAUCAAAAAAAGGAUGAGUCAAGGCAUCCAACUGCAAUGGAAGUAAAAAAACUAAAAACGUAAGGAUCUAAUCCUUGCAAAACAAGACAGCAUUGAAUCAAACAAAGCAUAAUACAAAAACCCCAGAAACAAUAAUAACAGAACAACUAAAAUGUUCAGUUUCUGUAAUCAAAAUUAUAUCAUAACAUGUUAACAAUCAACUAAGCUCUCUCUAUGCAUUGAUUCCAAUGACUCCUAGGUCUGCAUUAAAUGGUUACACAACUAAUCAAAAGAUUUACAAAAUCUAUCAAAAAGCAACGUAAAUGGAGGGGAGACAUUCACUAAUGUAUCCUUAGAAACUACACACUAGAACAGCGACCUAGAAAGGGAAAAAAAAACUCAC
rnacentral:misc_RNA from 1 species